UUGGCUUGGGUGAUAGGAACAGUUAUAGUCCGGGGCAUGAGACGGGUUGGACAACAUGCAUACACUUCUCGGGAAUGUUACCCUGGGAUCUCAUCCUGUCUCUUCUAUUCGUUCAGGAGAUGCUGAAGUCACUGGAAAGCAAAUAAAACGGCGGAUGUAGAAUCUGAAUUAAGAACAAAAAUGCUGGAAUAUCUCAGAAGGGACAUGGAUAGACUGAAUGGCAAUGGCGCAAGAACUUGAAAGCAUAGGUUUAAAAUGAAAGGGGGAGGAAUAGGGACUUGAAGAACUUUAUCCAAAAAAAAACAGUUCUGUAUACGACUGAGCUUCCAGGUGGAGCAGUUGAGGCAGGAACAACAGCAACUUUUAAAGGACAUUUAGACAGGUACGUGAAUAGGAAAGGUUCAUAAACAUAUGAAUCAAAAGUGAGCAAAUGGAACUGGCUUUAUGGACAUCUUGGUUGGCAUGGACCAGUUAAGCAGAAGAGCAUCUUCCUGUUCUGUAUGAGUUUUUUAAUCCAGCCAGCCAAGCAGCAUCUGUAGAAAGAGAAAGCUGGGCCCAAGUCUUCCUUUCUCUCUGAUCAAGGGUAUUCAACCUGAAAACUUACAGUAGUUUACUGAAGUUAUUUGACUGGUUGAGUUCUUCCAGCAAUUGUUUUUGAUGCAGAAGUUGCUUUUGGGGCCAGCAUUUAUAUUCGCUCUCUGGAGAAUUUCAGAGAUUUUCUCAACACCUCAGUAGAUCUACAGUUAGCUAUAAAGGUUGCAAAUUUCUUAAUAGAAAAAAAUUAUAUUCACUAUAAUGUAAAUUUCAUGAAACUAGCUUGUAACUCCUCUUUUAAUGAAUGAAUGGAUUUAGUUAUUAUUUAAAGAUACAGUGGAGUAACAUGCCCUUCCAGCUGAAUGUACUGCCCAAUUACACUGAUGUGUCCAAUUACCCUACCAGCCUGUACAUCUUUGCAAUGUGGGAGAAAACCCACAUGGUCUUAAAGACAGAGACAGGAAUAGAACCCAGGUUGCUGGUGCUGUAAUAGCGUUACACUAACAGCUAGCUUACGUUUUCAUGAUGGGAGUUCAGCUUGUGUCAAUAAUCCAAGCCUCCGCAUAUUAAAAAUGUAGAGCAACUUGGCAGUGCUGUUGAACCACUUUUGUAUAUCUCCUGUCCACUUUUUUACCUCUCUUCCCCUAUUUUUGUAAACUUUCUUAGAACUUUCCUGUUAUAUUUUUUGUAUUAUUUUUCUCUUUACUAAGUGUUCUUUGUUAAAUUUGCUUUUUCACAUAUAACUAAAGAACUCAUGCUGCUGAUAUGUAACCCAUUGUUAUCAGAAUCAGGUUUAUUAUCACCGGCAUGUGACGUGAAAUUUCUUAACUUAGCAGCAGCAGUUCAAUGCAAUACAUAAUUAUGUAUAUUGAAUAGAUCUAAAAAGUGCAAAAACAGAAAUACUGUAUAUUUUUUUUAAAAAGAGAGGUCGCGUCCAAAGCUUCAAUGUCCAUUUAGGAAUCGGAUGGCAGAGGGGAGGAAGCUGUUCCUGAAUUGCUGAGUGUGUGCCUUCAGGCUUCUGUACCUCCUACUUGAUGGUAAGAGUGAGAAAAGGGCAUGCCUUGGGUGCUAGAGGUCCUUAAUAAUGGAUGCUGCCUUUCUGAGACAUCGCUGUCUGAAGAUGUCCUGGAUACUUUGUAGGCCAGUGCCUAAGAUGGAGCUGACUAGGUUUACAACCGUCUGCAGCUUCUUUCAGUCCUGUGCAGCAGCCCCUCCAUACCAGACAGUGAUGCAGCCUGUCAGAAUGCUCUCCACGGUACAAAUAUAGAAGUUUUUGAGUGUAUUUGUUGACAUGCCAAAUCUCUAUAGCCGCUGUCUUAACUUCUUUAUAACUACAUCAAUAUGUUGGGACCAGGUUAGAUUCUCAGAGAUCUUGACACCCAGGAACUUGAAGCUGCUCACUCUCUCUACUUCUGAUCCCUCUAUGAGGAUUGGUAUGGUUCUUCCGUCUUACCCUUCCUGAAAUCCACAAUCAGCUCUUCCGUCUUACUGACUUUGAGUGCCAGGUUGUUGCUGAAUUGGCUUUACCUUCUAGCUUGCACUCCUUCCCACCCUCUUAUUCUUUAGUCUUCCUUUCCAGUUCUCAUGACGAGUCUCAGCCCAAAUCAGUGAAUUUUAUUCAUUGCUAUAGAUGCCACCCAACUUGCUGAGUUCCUCCAGCAUUGUUUCCAGCAUCUGUAAAAUUUCUUGUUUCUGAUUUUAAUUACACAUGUUUAUGGUGUUAUGGAUAUAACAUAGAACUCAAUUAUUUCAAUUUUUAACUGUUCCUAUUACAGCUGUUCUCGACCCAUUUAUUAUUUCUUUCAGUUCCUCUAUUAUCCUGUUUGGCUUAAUUCAGGGGCUUAUUUGGAUACUGCAGAUGCUAUCCUUACCCUCUUCCCGCUCCUCCUCUGUGGAUGCUGCUCGAUCUACUCAGUUCCUCCACUACUGUCUGUUAUGGUCUCUACUACUCUGAAAUAAUUCUACUCCCUCAGUUUCAAGGACUCUUUACACUCUUUCUCAGGAUUAUUCUUAUUUGUAGUUUGUCUUCUUUUGCUCUGUGUCUCUUUGUUUAUGUAUAGUUUUUUUGCUGUACUUUGUACUUUUCCUAUAAAUGCACGAAAAUACAUCUUAAGGUGGUGUGUAUUUGGAACAUAUGUAUUCUUUGAUAAUAAAUAUUGUUACAAAAUCCCGUAACUGGAUCACUUACCAGCAAAGAUAGAGAGGACCGUUGAAGUCUGAUGGUACUAUUUUUAAAAGUCUUUAUUUAUGAAGGGGCACAAAAAUAAGAUUAAUACAAACAUUCAGAUAAUAUACGUCGUCACUACUCAAUCUAAAAGCUCGGGUCUAAUAAUAACCAUCAAUAAGAAACAGCUCGAUCGUUUGUCUAGGGGAUAAUAUAUUGUCCGAUGGAAAUAUAAAAGUCACUCAGUUCCAGCAGGCUUCAGCCUUUUGGGGGACCGCUGGGCUUUCACUUGUUGGAGUGAGAGAGAGAUUGGUGAGAAAAGAAACUUGCCCGGGUCUUUUAUGAAACAAAUCUGUUGAAUCAGGGGAGCAGGCUUCCCCGUUGUUAGCUAAAAGUGGUUUUCCACAAUUCCAGCCACAGAUUCCAGGCACAGAAUCCAAUGCACGUGGCUUCCUUCAAAUGGCUUCCCGCUACUACGGGAUCGCUAGCGUUUCUUCUGGUGCGUCUGAAGGGGGUGUUCCCCCAGACCCUCCUUUAUACUUCCUCAGGGGGUCUCAGAUGUCAAUCAGGUUGGGAUGAUGCAAUCUCUCUCUCAACCAGCCCACUUUGCCCGAGGACUUGAACGUAGCAAAGUCCCCAAUCCACAAAUGUAGUCUCCAGGAGACAAUGGUCAACGUCGCAUUAUUUUGCAUCGCGUUGGAACGAGGUAUUCGGCACGUCUCUCUCUCCCAUUUCCUGGGUCUCCUGAACGGACUCAAUAGUGAUCUGGCGAUUCUCACCAAGGAGGGGGCUACCCCGCACCCUUCGGCCCCUCAGAGCUGUGGUACAUUCAUAACAAUGUAAUGUGAACUUUGAACUUGAACUUGCCUCCACCAUAUUUCAUCCUUGAAUUAUGUUCUUUUCUGUUCACCUUCAAAAUUGUUAACUGAUGUUUUCAAAUCCCAAUGAAUUCUCUCCAAAAUUGCUCAUUGGCCUCUUGAUUGUUUCUAUAAUUACCUAUGCUUUCUGUCCAAUUUUCAGCAUCAGGGGAGUAUUAAGUCAGUAUGAAUUAUUUGGACCACCAUUGCAAUUAAAUGCAAGAAUGUACGUGUUUUGUACGCAUCAACUGCGGGAGCAUUAAUCCUAUUUGCCAGAACAGUGAAGCCCCGUCUGUUACUUCAAGUGGAUAGUAAAUAUUUAAGACACAACUCAAAUGGCAGAAAGUUUUCUUGCUUUCCAAUCCACCAUUCUCUAAGUUGUUCAUUUCAGUGCCGUGCGGUGCAUCGGGCGGCAACAUUGCUGUUUCUAUAGCAUUUAUCUGUUUCUUACGAGUUGCUCGCUCGAUGCUCAACCCAGCGCGGAUAGACCACCGGCCGGCUACCAUUCUAAGUACCUGAUCUUAUUUCUAUCAACCAAUACACUACUGCGAAAGCAGAUAUGAUAGGAAGGGAAUGACAAAGAAUGUUUCAGCCCGAAUGUCGACAAAGCAAACGUCAUUCUAAUAAAAGUAACGCGAAUAUAAAUUUGUUUUGAAAUAUUUAAAUAUGACAAGAUCCUUGCAUUUUGAUUCCUCUAUUUCCACUCCAGAAAAGUGUUUAAUGUUUUAAUUAUCGUGAACGAUACAAGUUGUAGGUCUGAAUCACACAGAUUAGUAUACUCAGAAAGAUGGUGGAGAAUAAAUAUUCAGAUUCAAGGUACACAUCCCUUGUGCUUUUUUAAAACUUAAUUCGCCGGACGUCCUCGGAUUCGUGACUUGCACGGGUAAUUGAUUUCACGAUCACUACCCACUUCCGCUAGUGAGCCCAGACUCUCCCCGGGUGUCCCCAGCAGAAAGUGAUACCGAUGCUCUAUUGUGACGCCGUGUCACUGCGGGAUGGGUUCGGGGUGUGCUAUCUCUGCCCAGUUUGCACGCUCGCCUGAGACGCUGGUUUGCUUCAAACUCUUAUCCUCGACCUCUCAAAGGGAACAUUUCCAAACAUCAUGUUUCCCCACCUCAGUAACGGGGAUUAAUGUCCAACAGAAUUCGCUUGGAGAACCCGUUUGAACUGCCGAGAAUCACCCGAAGCCAGAAGUGUUGUGAUAAUUUUUAGUACACGCAGAUCUCCGCUAUGCGUUUUCUAUUUGCGAGGAUGGGGAACUUUUUUAGAAAAUUGCCAGAAGAACGCAAUGAGGCAGCUUUACAGUUUAUUCGCAACCAAGUUGCAAAAAAUUGUGUGGUUUUAUUUUCUAAAACCUUUUGUCCUCACUGUAAGAGGGUAAAGAACUUCUUCCAAGAACAAGGAAUCAAAUACAAGUCAAUUGAGUUGGAUUUACACAAAGAUGGCA